GGUACUCUUUCUUUUCCUUUCUUUAUCUCCUUGAGGAAUUGAAAGGACUCCAAGACCACAAGGAAGGCUACAACUACAAGAUGGAAAGAGCCUGUGUCUCUGAAUCCAACGGGAAGUCACCCCCAGAGCAUCACCAAUUAUUAUAUAAGCGAAAUGUCACGGUAUAUGGAGUGAAAUCACUCAAGUUGUGGGGCUGUGUAUUACAGUUCCUAGGGUGCAGUUUCAUUGUACAUGGUUAGCUUAGCUUAUGCUGACCAAUAACACUUCAGAAAUGCCUUUUCAAAAGUAUAUAUUCUUAAAUUUGAUUAAGGUUUUUGGAGUAGUCCAUUUUUUAAUUUUAAUUGAUUUGAUUUACAAUGUUGUGCCAAUUUCUGCUGUACAGCAAAGUGACCAAUCAUACAUAUACAUACAUUUUUUUCUCAUAUUUUUUUCCAUCACACUCUAUUCCAAGAGGUUGGAUAUAGUUGCCUGUGCUGUACAAUAAGACCUCCUUGUUUAUCCCUUCUAAUUGUAAUAGUCAGCAUCUACUAACCUCUAAAUUCCCGUCCAUCCCACUCCCUCCCCCCUCCCCUUUGGCAACCCAUUUUGAUAAGAGAUUAUUCUUUAACAGAAUGUCUGAAAGGGGGAUGAGGAAAUUAAAGGUCUUUGUUUGAGCUGUGAUGCAUCUAGUAUGUGUUAGUUUUGCAAAUCCCUAGGGGCUGCAUGAGCCCAGUUGGGAAAACAAUUCAAAAUAUCUUAAUGAAUUGGAGGUAAUUCAUCCCAUUCCCUGGGCCUCUGCCAUUGGAGACCCCUUGCUCAUGCCUAUUACUUAUCAGACAAAACUGGCUAAUUUACUUCAAGAUUUUUUUUUCUUUUUCCAUGCAUGAUUUGAUCAUAUAGCCUAAUUAAAUAUGCAUGAAAUAUUUGUUGUCCCCUACAUUUCUCGUGAUACUUAAUGGGUUAUUUUAUUUUGAAAUGUAGCACAGAAAAAUAACGUUUGCCAAAGACACAAAUACCUUCCUUGAAUACUACCAUUCAGAAGGCAAAAUAAAGGAAGGGAGGAGGAGAAAAAAAACAACAACAAUCAAUUUGGAUGAGAAUCUCUGCACAUAAUCAGUGGGAAGAAAUCAAUGUGAAUCCUAGUUAAACAUAGAUUGCACAGUGGGAAUGUAUACAGCCCUGCAUUAUUCAAACAAAUGGUUAGCGUUGCUGUGAACAGUUGUAAUGAGGCUUGGUUUGUGUUUGUAUUAAAGCGGACAGAGUCCUACUAUUAAUUUACCAAACCUAGACUCUGGUUGUUACAGCUUGUGCCACUUUAGAGCAGACAAAGAACUGAGCUGAAUCCACACCUCUUCUGUAAACCUAUCCUGGAGUAUUUCCUUGUCUUUAAUUGUUUUCCUUGUUCUGAAAGACAGCACUGGAUAUUGGAGAGAGCUUGAGAUCUGUCUUACUUAACAACUGCAAUGAUUCUGAAAUUUACUGAUGAACUAACUAUGAAGUGGAGCUUGAUUUGUACACAACAGGUUAAAAGCUGCUUCAGUAUCCAGUGUCCCUAAACUACUCAUAUAAAACACAUACACAUUCCACACCCACCCAUCACACAUCUUGAAAUAAAAUCCCAAAAGUAAAAAUGUCCUAUUUUUAUAAAAUUUUCAGUCACUAAAUGAUAGAAUACUCAAUAAGAGAAUCCAUUCAUUUUGAUAUGUGUUUGGACCUUUUGAUGAAUUCACCUAUUCAGGCUAAUUUUGGUCAUUUUUUUCCAGUGUUGAAAAGGCAAUAUAGAUUAGGAAUUAGAUUAUUUUUGUUUGUAUCAAUGUGGUUUUGGGUAUCUAUUUAUAUAGUGUUUAUAUGUAGAUACAUUUACUUAAAAUAUAACAAUAAGCUGCAGUUACAUCUGAUUUUAUUGUUACUCCAUUUUGUUUAUAAAUUGUUUUUUAAGAUGAAAAGUUUAAUAAAUAUGGUAUGUGCUCAUGAUUGAAACACCAUACACUACUGAGAGUGUUUUCAAAAGUGAAAAUGACCAGAAAUUCUACUGCCCAGAAAAAGCUACUAUUAAAAUCUAAAUGAAUAUCCUUCCAGAAUUCCUCUUGCCGCUCCAAAAACAUCAUGAUCUUUUUAUGAACUGGGCAGGAGAUAUGAAAAAAAAUCAUGGAGAAACUAAUUGCCAAAAAAAAUACCUAAGGAAACAACUGCUUCAAUUUGUGUCAGGUGCUAUAGAUGAGAUGCUGUUAAGUUCUCAAUGGAUUUAGAAAAUUCAGGUAAGGGUCCCAGGUAAUUACACAUUUUGGCUCAAAUUUCUAACUUUACCAAAAUAUACCUAAUUUGUGAAACCUCUAGCUCAAAAUCUUCUAGGAAUGCAGAAUACAGCUGGCACAACGUCAAGGCUUUACUUGUAUUUAUGAGAUUGUAAAUGACUAAAACAAGGAAAUAGAAGGCUAGAUAUCAUAUUUAGGUCCUGAAUUUAAAAAUGCUAGGCUGGUGUCAUGAUGUAGACAAACAUUCAUGACAGUGAAGAUACAGUUGAAGGAUAUUGAGGAAAACUGGUAUAAGGGAGAAAAAAAAUGUUGAACAGAAUCAGGAAUGUUUUCUCCAAAAACACUUAGCUCACCUAUACUUAUAGUUUGGUCUAAGUCCAGUGACCUUUGUUUUCUAUUCAGAAUAUUUUUUUCAUAACUUGCAUUGGUGAAUAUUUUCCUUUUAUUGAUUCAACUGAACUAAAAUAAAAUUGAGAUAGCUGAUGAUAUAGGAAGAUACUCAAGUCAGGCUAAACAUAUCAGAAUUUUGCAGAAGAAAAUUUUCAUUAUCCUGUCAAUCACCACAUGCUGAUAAUCUUCUUAUCCAGACUUUCACAAAGUUAAUUAAGAUUUCCAAAUAUUCAUAAAUGCCAAAGGUUUAAAAAAUAAAGUUUCAUGCUUUGAUGUUAUAAGUCUGGAAAUUAUUAAAAUUGUCUAAUUUCUAAUUAAAACAAGGUUGAAACUGGCUUUAAGUUAUUCAGGUAAAUGGAAAGUUUUUAUUGGGUAGAAAUGCUAUUGUAUUUAUUUGAAGUAAGAAAUAAAAAAGUUUCUUGUGUUCAUGGUUACACUUUGUACUGCCAUCCUUGCAAGUCUUAAAUUCUGUUCAACACUGUAUCUAUAUUCAAAGGUAAGAAAUCAAAGUAUCUUAAACUCUAGAAAAGGUCCUUAUUUGUUCCCACUUUGAAUUAAGCACUAUUUUAAUUUUCUCCUCUCUAUAUUGUUUUCACUACAGCAACUCACAAAUAGGCCACACUGCUUUUGUUGUACAAUUAUUAUUUGGUGGUGGUGGUGGUGGUGGUGGUGAUGGGGUGUGUGUGUGUACUAUUGAAUUUUGAUGAAUACAUUUAUGUAAACUUUGUGUGAGGGUGUUUGUAUGUCUAAUUGAGUCUAUUUGUCUAUCUCUCUAUGUAUGCACAUAUACAUAUAUGUACACACAGGUGCACAUAUGUGUGUAUGUUUGUUAUGUAUAAUGUAUAUAUAUGAAAUGAAUCUUUAUAGCUAAGUAUCAGAAAAGCAAAAAUUAUCUACUUAAUUUCUUCCAGUCAGGGUAUCUUCAUUCAAUCAAUAAGUGAAUCUGAGUUCCCAAUAUACAUUAUGUGCUAAAAACUAUUUAUAUGUUCCCAUAUUUGUGGGACUUAUGUAUAUACAAAUGAUACAGCUAACAAAGUCCUUGCCCUCAUCGAGCUUAUAUUAUAGCCCUUAUAAGUCUAUGAACAGAAUGCAUUUAAAUCAUUUUAAAAAUAAUCCCUAUUGCUUAAUUAAAUUUUUCAUAGUCACAGAAAUCAUCUCUCAGUCAAAUGUAAUCUGAAAGAUAAAACUAUAGGUAGAACUUUGGAAGACAGCAAGAUCCAGAUGGCACCUGGAAGGAGCAGGAAUACAGUAACUGUAUUCACAGUCUGUUCAGCAACUAGCCCUGAAUGCUCACAUCACAUGUCCACACCUCUAAACACUUUUUUCUUAGUGAACUCUCACAUUAAGUAAAGCUAUUAGCCAUACUCUGUCUAGAAGGCCACAAAGUUGUAAAUAAAAAGAAUACAAAACUUCUGCACACACAAACACAAAUAUAUACUCAUACACAAAUACACACACACACCCCUCCACCCACAUACUACAAAACAACACUUACACUCAAAUAUGUGCCUUGAGACACUGUAUUGAGAUAGCUUGUGUGAGGUUUUUCAACUAAAUCAUUUCAUAUAUUGCUUUCAGUUUUAAAAAUUUUGAUUUUAUACAAAUAGACCACAAAAUAAUAAUUUUCUCAAUAAAUCCUCCACAUCUUACUAUAACACUAUUCAUGAUAGCUGCCCACUUCCUACCAAAACCACUGCACUGCAUGGAUCCCUAGUCCCAUUGUAGUUCAUAUAAAUGGCACCCCUGGGGUUGUUCAGUGCAGAGCCCAUAGCUAAGCCAUAGGUUUAAAUGAUGGCCCCUUUUCCUCUCCUGACUAAUAAAAUCUAUAGUGGUGUUUCGUCAGCAAAAUCUGUCUUCAGUUACUUGCUUUGCAAGCUCCUACAGUAAAUCAUAUGCCUGUAAAAAUACCAGGAGUCAACUUUCAGAAGGAGUUAUUUAAAAAAAAAAAAAAGUCAAAGAAUGUUUCAAACCUGUUUCUUACUCAAAGCACUUUCUCUUUAAGGUAGUUUUAAAGACCCAUAUCACCUUUGCAAUCUAAUAUUUGUGAAUGUGUAGCUGUUGCAUUACCAAUUAGAGAUACACAAAGUAUAUAUUUUCAUUGGCUCAUUUGGGCAUUUAAACAUGGUUUGCAUAUGAACUAGAAACCGUAAAAAUAACCUCAAUAUCAGGCUUUAAUGGGUGUUACUUUAAUAUUCUUAGACAUUUAGAGACCAAUUCUUGACAUUUCUGUAAUAAAUGGUUGGAUUUAGCAAGUGGAAUACUGGCCUUGAGAAGUUUAAUUGCAUAAAAUAUAAUGGAGUCUAUUACACCCAUCAUUCCAGGCUCAUCCUUUUUGUUGCCAGAAGCUAUGUAUCUUGGUAAUCAUAACCACAUCACAAAAUUAAUCUGUGAAAAUUAAUGAGUGCACAUAUGAACAUAAUUAACAGAUUGAUUCUAAAGUAAAUUUAAGUUAGAUUUUGACAUUUUAUAUAUUAACUGAAGUCUAUUCUUACAUAUGUGAUCUAUAAUUCAAUUAACAAUUUCUAAAGAUCUUCCUAUGGGUGAGGCAUUAUAUUAGGUAGUUUGAGAAGGGUAAAGAUAAA
rnacentral:lncRNA from 1 species